rnacentral:lncRNA from 1 species
GUUCUUCUACUGGGACAGCAAGCUCGACCUCGCGUUCGGAAACUUCAUGCUGCACCUCGACUUUGGUUUGCUCCUCUUCCACGUUGUCGUGAAUGUCCUCACUGGCAGGAGGUGCUCGCUGUGUGUCGUCCACUGUGGCAUCUGUCGCAUGCAUGGAAUCCGGUGCACCACUCUCGAUCUCUGGCACCGCCAACUUUUCUCCCUCCUGCAGGAUCGCGACUGAAGCACUCUCCCUGGGCUCGACAUUCUCCACCUGGUCAUCCACAGCCACCUUGGCCGGCUCUAUGCUCUCUUCCUCCUUGAUUUCCUCGUGUGCGGGUAAGACGUCAUCCACUUUCGCAGUUGGUACUUGAGCUACAACUGGCUCGGCUGGUUGCACCUCUUUGGCAUCCUCUUCAGAAGCCUCAGGCACGGCCUCUGUCUCGGGAACGGCCUCAAGCACAGGCUGUGGCUCCUGGACUUCUUCGUUCCCUGACGGUGGGAGUUCUUCUACUGGGACAGCAAGCUCGACCUCGCGUUCGGAAACUUCAUGCUGCACCUCGACUUUGCUUUGCUCCUCUUCCACGUUCUCGUGAAUGUCCUCACUGGCAGGAGGUGCUCGCUGUGUGUCGUCCACUGUGGCAUCUGUCACAUGGAUGGAAUCCGGUGCACCACUCUCGAUCUCUGGCACCGCCAACUUUUCUCCCUCCUGCAGGAUCGCGACUGAAGCACUCUCCCUGGGCUCGACAUUCUCCACCUGGUCAUCCACAGCCACCUUGGCCGGCUCUAUGCUCUCUUCCUCCUUGAUUUCCUCGUGUGCGGGUAAGACGUCAUCCACUUUCGCAGUUGGUACUUGAGCUACAACUGGCUCGGCUGGUUGCACCUCUUUGGCAGCCUCUUCAGAAGCCUCAGGCACGGCCUCUGUCUCGGGAACGGCCUCAAGCACAGGCUGUGGCUGCUGGACUUCUUCGUUCCCUGACGGUGGGAGUUGUUCUACUGGGACAGCAAGCUCGACCUCGCGUUCGGAAACUUCAUGCUGCACCUCGACUUUGCUUUGCUCCUCUUCCACGUUGUCGUGAAUAUCCUCACUGGCAGGAGGUGCUCGCUGUGUGUCGUCCACUGUGGCAUCUGUCGCAUGCAUGGAAUCUGGAGCACCACUCUCGAUCUCUGGCACCGCCAACUUUUCUCCCUCCUGCAGGAUCGCGACUGAAGCACUCUCCCUGGGCUCGACAUUCUCCACCUGGUCAUCCACAGCCACCUUGGCCGGCUCUAUGCUCUCUUCCUCCUUGAUUUCCUCGUGUGCGGGUAAGACGUCAUCCACUUUCGCAGUUGGUACUUGAGCUACAACUGGCUCGGCUGGUUGCACCUCUUUGGCAUCCUCUUCAGAAGCCUCAGGCACGGCCUCUGUCUCGGGAACGGCCUCAAGCACAGGCUGUGGCUCCUGGACUUCUUCGUUCCCUGACGGUGGGAGUUCUUCUACUGGGACAGCAAGCUCGACCUCGCGUUCGGAAACUUCAUGCUGCACCUCGACUUUGCUUUGCUCCUCUUCCACGUUCUCGUGAAUGUCCUCACUGGCAGGAGGUGCUCGCUGUGUGUCGUCCACUGUGGCAUCUGUCGCAUGCAUGGAAUCCGGUGCACCACUCUCGAUCUCUGGCACUGCCAACUUUUCUCCCUCCUGCAGGAUCGCGACUGAAGCACUCUCCCUGGGCUCGACAUUCUCCACCUGGUCAUCCACAGCCACCUUGGCCGGCUCUAUGCUCUCUUCCUCCUUGAUUUCCUCGUGUGCGGGUAAGACGUCAUCCACUUUCGCGGUUGGUACUUGAGCUACAACUGGCUCGGCCGGUUGCACCUCUUUGGCAGCCUCUUCAGAAGCCUCAGGCACGGCCUCUGUCUCGGGAACGGCCUCAAGCACAGGCUGUGGCUGCUGGACUUCUUCGUUCCCUGACUGUGGGAGUUCUUCUACUGGGACGGCAAGCUCGACCUUGCGUUCGGAAACUUCAUGCUGCACCUCGACUUUGGUUUGCUCCUCUUCCACGUUGUCGUGAAUGUCCUCACUGGCAGGAGAUGCUCGCUGUGUGUCGUCCACUGUGGCAUCUGUCACAUGGAUGGAAUCUGGAGCAGCACUCUCGAUCUCUGGCACCGCCAACUUUUCUCCCUCCUGCAGGAUCGCGACUGAAGCACUCUCCCUGGGCUUGAAAUUCUCCACCUGGUCAUCCACAGCCACCUUGGCCUGCUCUAUGCUCUCUUCCUCCUUGAUUUCCUCGUGU